rnacentral:rRNA from 1 species
UACGGGGGGAGCAAGCGUUGUUCGGAUUUACUGGGCGUAAAGGGCGCGUAGGCGGCCACCGCAAGUCGACUGUGAAAUCUCCGGGCUUAACCCGGAAAGGUCAACUGAUACUGCGCGGCUAGAGUGCAGAAGGGGCAACUGGAAUUCUCGGUAUAGCGGUGAGAUGCGUAGAUAUCGAGAGGAACACCCGCGGCGAAGGCGGGUUGCUGGGCUGACACUGACGCUGAUGCGCGAAAGCCAGGGGAGCGAACGGG